GAUGAACGCUAGCGGCAGGCUUAAUACAUGCAAGUCGAGGGGCAGCACGGGUAGCAAUACCUGGUGGCGACCGGCAAACGGGUGCGGAACACGUACGCAACCUUCCCAUAACUGGUGAAUAGCCCUCCGAAAGGAGGAUUAAUACACCGUAACUUAACGAAGUGGCAUCACUUUGUUAAUAUAGGCUUCGGCCGGUUUUGGAUGGGCGUGCGCCUGAUUAGGUAGUUGGCGGGGUAACGGCCCACCAAGCCUGCGAUCAGUAACUGGUGUGAGAGCACGACCAGUCACACGGGCACUGAGACACGGGCCCGACUCCUACGGGAGGCAGCAGUAAGGAAUAUUGGUCAAUGGACGAAAGUCUGAACCAGCCAUGCCGCGUGAAGGAUUAAGGCCCUCUGGGUUGUAAACUUCUUUUAUCUGGGACGAAAAAAGGGUAUUCUUACUCACUUGACGGUACCAGAGGAAUAAGCACCGGCUAACUCCGUG
rnacentral:rRNA from 1 species